UUUUCAAAGCUCCCUUUCAAUUUGAGAGAUCGACGCCAUUCAGUCUGUAUGCCUGUUAACUGCGCAUGCCGUACUAUCAAGGUGAACGCAAAACCACGGAAGGAAGCCCGCUCUUCCGGUAGCUCGGAUGCAGAUUCACGACGGUGGGUUUGCUGGUGCGAAUUUGUAUUGUCCUGGUGUCUCUGGACAAAUUGCGGCCCGCAAAUUGAAAGCCGAGCUCCUACCUCCUGCGAGGAAUACUAAACAUUCUGCUCGUCCACGUUUAUACCCACCUACAAACCUAUCUACAUCAACGUACUACAGUGUCUUGUACCUCUUACCCAUGUACACUACGACAAUGGACAUGCGUGUACGCCCUAAAACAGAAGAAACGUCAACCGGCAUGAAUCAAGGGAUACGUUAUUAUCUCAUCGACCGAUAAGUCACACUUUGCCUUUGCGUCUACGUGCUGACGUAUUCGACGAGCGCAAGUUUCAUCGAGGACCAAGUACUGCGCCUCCAGGCGUCCAACAUGUUUAAUGUUAUACUCAGGAUAAGAAAGCAACUCGACACUCCAGAUAAAACAAUGUCUAAAUUGUUUGAAUGAAUACUGUCAUGGGAUACUGACACAAUGAAUAUACACCCUGAAAACAUCAAAAUGCAGCACUACCGUACCGUGGGAAAAGGUUGUACUAUGGCUUUGUUCGUUGUGCAGUACCUUGAAAGUGAGGAUAACCGGCAUUGUCAUUUGGAUUAAUCUCCGGACGCCAAUCUGUCGCGGAUACGGAGAACAGCUCAAGAAACACGUAGACCCAGCGAUGAGGUACAGAAGCUGAAUCAUCAGGGAGAUGGGACAAGAGCAUCGCGAAACAGUAUAGCCACAAGGAUAUCCUCAGGAAGACAGCUGCCCGCCUAUCCGUUAUGAAGGAAUUGUCACAGGGAUCGAAAUUACCCGUAACGAAUAUUUGCGUAAUCCAAACCACCGAUAGAUUGUGGAUUCUGUAUCCUAUCUGCGGAUCACUCAUGGAUUUUAAGAGUAGAUGUGUUCAGCUAUGGAAAAUUUAAAUUUUGUGAAUACUAUAUACAGAUUAGAUACUCCUUUUAUUGGUCAACUGUAUAAUAAGGGCUAAUGAAGGUUUAUAAUUAUUUUAAAAAAAUUUUAUAUAAGCUUCGAGUGCUCUUAAAAAUGCCAGUGACGUCAUCGACGAGAUAAAAGGGUCCAGUGCAAAAAAACAAUUUCAAAAAUAGCAACAGUCCUUGCAGAGUCACACGUGCGCGCCAGUAACUCGGCAAUGUCAAAAAGUGCAUUCAGGUUCGUUUGAUCCCUGAGCUUACGGUAACGGGGGGAAUGUUAAAAGCUCGUGCAGCCUGUCACGCUGCGAUACUAGGUUUAGCAAGCACACAAUACGAUGGCGAUUCGCGAUGGCCCCUCCAGUGAAGGUAACCAAAAGCCAUUAGCUUGAAACUAUUAGGUGGAAUAAAAAGUUAUAAAAAUCCGUGACGUAUUAUGGAAAUGGAUACUGUAGAGACUGACUAUACGUAGGCGGAGAAAGAGAACGAGACUCAAGGUUCGUACGUGCACCGAGUGUGCUCGGUUAUGCAUUUUAAGCCGAACCACUCAAUUAACCCAGGGCUAUCUUUGCCAUUUGCAUUUCAAUAUGGCUGCGAGCCAAACUUCACCGAAGAUGGAGUUCAAUGAAAAUUUCAGGUACUCCGUUUCUUUUCAUGGCAGGAACGUUCAGAGAGACUGAAGACCGGAGAGAGUCCAGAGAGAAAGAGAGACAGUAUGUACUCCUCGAAUCGAUGCUGAAGCUUGUUUGGAGAACUAGCGCGUAUCUCCGGACGAAUGCGCAGAUCCCACUUUCAGGACGUCUCCUAAUAUCUUUUCGAUUGAAAGGAUUCUCAAUUACGUAUA